rnacentral:rRNA from 1 species
GACGAACGCUGGCGGCGUGCUUAACACAUGCAAGUCGAACGGAAAGGCCCUGCUUUUGUGGGUUGCUCGAGUGGCGAACGGGUGAGUAACACGUGAGUAACCUGCCCUUGACUGUGGGAUAACUUCAGGAAACUGGGGCUAAUACCGGAUAGGAGCUCCUGCUGCAUGGUGUGGGUUGGAAAGUUUCGGCGGUUGGGGAUGGACUCGCGGCUUAUCAGCUUGUUGGUGGGGUAGUGGCUUACCAAGGCUUUGACGGGUAGCCGGCCUGAGAGGGUGACCGGCCACAUUGGGACUGCGAUACGGCCCAGACUCCUACGGGAGGCAGCAGUGGGGAAUAUUGCACAAUGGGCGGAAGCCUGAUGCAGCAACGCCGCGUGCGGGAUGACGGCCUUCGGGUUGUAAACCGCUUUCGCCUGUGACGAAGCGUGAGUGACGGUAAUGGGUAAAGAAGCACCGGCUAACUACGUG